rnacentral:rRNA from 1 species
UACGUAGGGGGCAAGCGUUGUCCGGAAUUAUCGGGCGUAAAGAGCUCGUAGGCGGUUUGUCGCGUCUGCCGUGAAAGUCCGGGGCUCAACUCCGGAUCUGCGGUGGGUACGGGCAGACUAGAGUGAUGUAGGGGAGACUGGAAUUCCUGGUGUAGCGGUGAAAUGCGCAGAUAUCAGGAGGAACACCGAUGGCGAAGGCAGGUCUCUGGGCAUUAACUGACGCUGAGGAGCGAAAGCAUGGGGAGCGAACAGG